rnacentral:misc_RNA from 1 species
CUGUGUAGCAGUUUGGCCCAUUAAAAAACCGAAAUAAAAAACCGAACCGAAUUAAUAAAAACCGAACCGAAAUAUUUCGAUUCAAUAUUCGGUACGCAAUUUACAAAAAUCGAAAAUCGAAAAAACCGAAAAAAAACCCGAACCGAACCGAAAUACCGAAUGCCCACCCCUAUAUUAAAUUUGAAGUAAUUAUAUACCCAUCUCGAUUUUAAUUUAAUAUAAACAAAUAAUAAACCCUUCUCCAAGAUAAUAAAUCCCUUCUUCUCCAAAGUUCCAGUACCUUCUAGUUUCUACAAAAUCUCUUCAAUAAAUUCUUCUUCUUCCCUAAACAAAACACCGAAAAAUCUAAGUAAGAAAUCAAAAAUGGCGAAAGAGGGACCUAAUUGGGAUGGUUUAUUGAAAUGGAGUCUAUCUCAUGCUGAUGGUACCAAACCUCCUCCUCGCAAUUUGAGUGAGGAGGACAGGAGGUGGUUCAUGGAGGCUAUGCAAGCUCAAACUGUUGAUGUGAUUAAGAGAAUGAAGGAGAUUACACUUGUCAUGCAAACACCAGAGCAGGUUUUGGAAUCACAGGGGGUGACUUCCCAAGAUAUUGAAGAUAUGCUGGAUGAGCUACAAGAACAUGUCGAAUCAAUUGAUAUGGCUAAUGAUCUGAAUUCA